UGAGACUGUUGUGACCAUUCCAACCACAAUUGGAUCAGAUAAAUUUGCAUGCCUUAGUUUGUGUUUUUGUAUAUGUGUUAUUUGACGUCUUCUUUGAAUUAGGCUUCUAUUAGUUCUUGGUGAUUGGCACUGACAUUUUUUCUUGACAAAUAUGGUGUACAUUUCACAACUUUGGAUAUUUUUUGGUGCUCUGGUGUAUUCAAACACUCUGGACCGCUGGAAUACAAGAUGCACAGAUGUUACCAUCAGAGCCUCUCUGAGAUCUGAAGUCUCUCUCCCAUGUCACUUUAAUAUAAGCCAUUAUGAUAAAACAGAGAAAAUAAAAUGGAGCCACUAUUCCAGUAUUGUAACGAUCACAAACGAUGGCAUUAUCUACUUUGAUAAUCCUAGUGAUGGACGAGUGAGCUCUUUCCCUAAUCUGGCCAGAGGAGGAAACUUCUCUAUCCUCAUCCAUGAUCUGCAGUCUUCAGACAUUGGCACCUACUUUUGUGAGCUGAACAGUGAAUGCUGGAGGGUGAAGAUCAUUGAAUGUCCGUACAAAACUGAACCGCUGAACUCUAAUCGCAACUCCUGGUUAUACUUUGUUGCUGGAGCUGGAGUUUUUACUCUUCUUUUUAUUAUAUUCAAUCGCACUGGUUUACAAAACCGUUUGCAGUCCUUGACAGAAAAAUGCAUGAGAUCAUCCAAAUCUAGCUCUACGAAUGAAGAACACCAUGAAGCAUUCAGAACUCCAGAUCCAAAUGAUUUUACAACAUCUACAAUAUACCAUGAAAGGAAACAAAUUCCUGAUUUUGAUUAGAUUGAAAACUUAUUUGGACUUAAAUGGAUGACUGUAAAUGCUAUUUAUUCUGUUUAAAGGCAUGCAGCAGAUUCCCUUCUGUUCUCCUGACACUCAAUACUGUAUAUACAGUACUUAUAACACAAACUCAC
ensembl:lncRNA